rnacentral:rRNA from 1 species
UACAGAGGGGGCAAGCGUUAUUCGGAAUUAUUGGGCGUAAAGCGCGCGCAGGCGGUCCUUUAAGUCUGAUGUGAAAGCCCACGGCUCAACCGUGGAGGGUCAUUGGAAACUGGGGGACUUGAGUGCAGAAGAGGAAAGUGGAAUUCCACGUGUAGCGGUGAAAUGCGUAGAUAUCGAGAGGAACACCUGCGGCGAAGGCGGGUAGCUGGGCCGACACUGACGCUGAUGCGCGAAAGCCAGGGGAGCGAACGGG